UUAGGUGAUCCAGACAGGCUGGACCAGUUUCACCCAACGUUUCAUCUCGCCUGUGCAGUGAACCCUUUGAGAGUCAUCACUUCAGCACGGACUCAUGGGGAAGGAGAUGCCUGAAAAACACUGCAGUGCCCACCAUUUUCUAUUUCACCAAUGGCAAAGAACAACAGCCUAGAAGGAAAAGCAGGGUGAGGAGCAAUGAGGAGGACGCUUGAGGGAAGUUGCAACGCCUCGGCCAAUGUGAUGUCUUCUCCACGUGAAAGAGAUUGAAGGCAUAAUUUAUAACUUGAGACAAUUUUCCAAAAGUUAUGACUUUUACUUAGGUAGUAAUGGAUUACAUCUAACACGAAUCAAGAUCGUAUAGAAAAAAAGGAAAGUGUAAUCCUUAGUUACAUAGGAAAAGAUGUAAUCGGAUUAGUUUGACUUUUUUUAAUAAUAGGGAAACUCAGGAUUACAAUCUUAUUCAAAACCUAAAAAGAGCAUAUAGUGUUUGUUGUAAAAUGAUCAAAUUGUAUCUCUUCUCUGGAAGCAGUACUGUUCUGUAGGCUAAUACUUUAAUUGUGAAUCUAUAUACACCUACUGCCUGAAUCUGCUUUAUGGUAUUAUAUUAUACAUUUAAGUAAAAAAAUCAUAUUAAUAUU